CAGCCGCCGCGGGAAUACGUAGGUGGCAAGCGUCGUCCGGAAUUAUUGAGCGUAAAGGGCUCGCAGGCGGUUUCUUAAGUCUGAUGUGAAAGCCCCCGGCUCAACCGGGGAGGGUCAUUGGAAACUGGGAAACUUGAGUGCAGAAGAGGAGAGUGGAAUUCCACGUGUAGCGGUGAAAUGCGUAGAGAUGUGGAGGAACACCAGUGGCGAAGGCGACUCUCUGGUCUGUAACUGACGCUGAGGAGCGAAAGCGUGGGGAGCGAACAGGAUUAGAUACCCCUGUAGUCCCUGUCUCUUAUAC
rnacentral:rRNA from 1 species